GUUGGUGGUUUGUAGACUGGCACCGGCGGUGGAAGCUCCACCUUCGGCGGCUUAGGCGGACAUGGCUUCUUCGGUGGCUUGUGUACCGGAACUGGAGGUGGGUGCUCUAUCUUUGGCGGUGGCUUGUAAACCGGAACCGAAGGUGGGUGCUCUAUCUUUGGCGGUGGCUUGUAAACCGGAACCGAAGGUGGGUGCUCUAUCUUUGGCGGUGGCUUGUAAACCGGAACUGGAGGUGGGUGCUCUAUCUUUGGCGGUGGCUUGUAAACCGGAACCGGAGGUGGGUGCUCUAUCUUCGGCGGUUUAGGUGGACAAGGCUUCUUAGGAAUAGGCGGUGGAAGCUCCACCUUUGGUGAUGGCUCGUAAAUCGGGACAGGUGGGGGAACCUCUUUCUUUGGCGGUGGAUCGUAAACCGGAACCGGAGGCGGAACCUCUUUCUUUGGCGGUGGCUCGUAAACCGGAACCGGAGGUGGAACCUCCACAGGAGGGCUGAAUUUAGGUGGACAUGGCUUCUUGAGAAACGGUGGAAGUUCCAAAGGUGGAGGUAAAGGGAACGGAUGAUCAAAGCCCUUAAAAGGUGGCAACUUAGGCAUAUGCCAGAAGAAUUUCGAAACACAAAUUUCGG
rnacentral:lncRNA from 1 species